GGCGUGCCUUAAUACAUGCAAGUCGAGCGAACAGAAGGGAGCUUGCUCCCGGAUGUUAGCGGCGGACGGGUGAGUAACACGUGGGUAACCUGCCUGUAAGACUGGGAUAACUCCGGGAAACCGGAGCUAAUACCGGAUAGUUCCUUGAACCGCAUGGUUCAAGGAUGAAAGACGGUUUCGGCUGUCACUUACAGAUGGACCCGCGGCGCAUUAGCUAGUUGGUGGGGUAAUGGCUCACCAAGGCGACGAUGCGUAGCCGACCUGAGAGGGUGAUCGGCCACACUGGGACUGAGACACGGCCCAGACUCCUACGGGAGGCAGCAGUAGGGAAUCUUCCGCAAUGGACGAAAGUCUGACGGAGCAACGCCGCGUGAGUGAUGAAGGUUUUCGGAUCGUAAAGCUCUGUUGUUAGGGAAGAACAAGUGCGAGAGUAACUGCUCGCACCUUGACGGUACCUAACCAGAAAGCCACGGCUAACUACGUGCCAGCAGCCGCGGUAAUACGUAGGUGGCAAGCGUUGUCCGGAAUUAUUGGGCGUAAAGGGCUCGCAGGCGGUUUCUUAAGUCUGAUGUGAAAGCCCCCGGCUCAACCGGGGAGGGUCAUUGGAAACUGGGAAACUUGAGUGCAGAAGAGGAGAGUGGAAUUCCACGUGUAGCGGUGAAAUGCGUAGAGAUGUGGAGGAACACCAGUGGCGAAGGCGACUCUCUGGUCUGUAACUGACGCUGAGGAGCGAAAGCGUGGGGAGCGAACAGGAUUAGAUACCCUGGUAGUCCACGCCGUAAACGAUGAGUGCUAAGUGUUAGGGGGUUUCCGCCCCUUAGUGCUGCAGCUAACGCAUUAAGCACUCCGCCUGGGGAGUACGGUCGCAAGACUGAAACUCAAAGGAAUUGACGGGGGCCCGCACAAGCGGUGGAGCAUGUGGUUUAAUUCGAAGCAACGCGAAGAACCUUACCAGGUCUUGACAUCCUCUGACAACCCUAGAGAUAGGGCUUUCCCUUCGGGGACAGAGUGACAGGUGGUGCAUGGUUGUCGUCAGCUCGUGUCGUGAGAUGUUGGGUUAAGUCCCGCAACGAGCGCAACCCUUGAUCUUAGUUGCCAGCAUUCAGUUGGGCACUCUAAGGUGACUGCCGGUGACAACCGGAGGAAGGUGGGGAUGACGUCAAAUCAUCAUGCCCCUUAUGACCGGGCUACCC
rnacentral:rRNA from 1 species